UACGGGGGGGGCAAGCGUUGUUCGGAAUUACUGGGCGUAAAGGGUCUGUAGGUGGCCAACUAAGUCAGACGUGAAAUCCCUCGGCUUAACCGGGGAACUGCCUCUGAUACUGGAUGGCUUGAGAUUGGGAGAGGGAUGCGGAAUUCCAGGUGUAGCGGUGGAAUGCGCAGAUAUCAGGAGGAACACCAAUGGCGAAGGCAGCUCUCUGGGACGGUACUGACGCUGAGACGCGAAAGCGUGGGGAGCGAACAGG
rnacentral:rRNA from 1 species